rnacentral:tRNA from 1 species
AUAUUUCGCCGCGGCGAGCGUGAAGGCGAGGCCGCGGCUCUCGCCGCCGGCGGCGCGGUCGAGCCGGAGCAGCCGUUCCAUGCGGUCGAGAUAUUC